CAGCCGCAAGAUCGUUGACUGACCUAGUCAUGCAAAAGCUCUCUUUGCCGCGCUCUCUCUCUUUCUCUCCGGCUCGCGUAGACUUGCUCUCUCGCGCGCUUGCAGCUAACGUCAUUUGAUUGCAUUUCUAAAGCUUCGCUCAGUCCGCAAAUUAUCGCAUAGUUGUUCUGCCUGUGUGCGUGCGUGUGUGUGUGUGUCGUGUGCGCGCUUGUGACAGUGUUUGAUUUCUUUGUCAGUGAACUUGAGCUUUUGCUGGCUCUGCUAAUUGCAUUGCGAUUACAGCAUAGCGCAACAGUGUGCGUGUGUGUCUAAGUUGAUGUGUGCUGUGUGUGAUAAUACCGCGCCGUCUGCGCCCGCACAGCCCCUGUCCUCGUGUUUUGUUUUGCUGUGGUCCGCCUUUUUUUUAAAGCUUUGCGACUUUUGUAAUAUUUUUUGUUUCACUCGCACUGCACGGCACAGUUGAGCAGCUUGCUCUGCACAAACACACACACACACACACACACACGGACACAUAACUGGCGCUCUUUCAUUCGCUCUCUUCGCGUUUGUUGUUGUUUUAAACUUGACUUAAUUAAAUUGUUUCCUAUUUUGCUGCUGCUUUAUUUUUAUCAUUAGCCAAUUGUCUGUCAUUCAUUGAUUUAUUUAGAUUCCCGUUUUGUUCGGUUUCAUAUGUGUUAACAACGACAUUUUUUUUUUGUAUACACCUGUAUAGACAGUUAAGGGUAUAAUUAAGGUAGCUACCUAAGGAGUUCCAUUUCAUUUCUAUUUCUCAGCCCAAGUCCCAUGGCCAGCCCUUAAGUUAGUCGCUUAUUUGAAUAUAUAGUAUCUUAUGCACUAUUCCAAUGCUGGGAAGUAAUCGAUCUACGAAUCAGAUACUCCACCUGUGGAGUGCUCAUCUUGCAGCUCGACAUGCGAAGCGGAUGUGCUGUGCCUUUUCUUGCCGCUCACCAUUAUUUGAAUUGAUUAGUUUUUGAUUUAACAACAAUUAAACAAUGAUUUUCAAACAAAGCAAUUCGCUUCGCCUUAUUCUUUUCCAACUAUUGCUCUUCCAACAUGAGACACAAAUCGCUUAUCUCUUCGCUGGCAAAGCCUUUCGAGUAUCUUGUUGCUAAUAUAUAUACUUAUUUUAUUGUAAUUGCUGCAAUUAAAGCGCUAUAGAAAAUCCAGUUGGGCUCUGCCUGUAUGAUGUAUGCAUUUCUAUGAGAUAAAUAUAGAUUUUAAACGUUUGAGCUUAA